GCUGUUUUGGCUCAAUGAUUAGAGCAUUAGCCUCACACUGAAGGGCCUUGGGUUCGAUUCCCAACAGGGGCA
rnacentral:tRNA from 1 species